CGGCUCCAUCUUACAGACCAGGAAACUAAGAGCAGGCAAGGUCCAAGGCCACAUAACAGGUGCAAAAAGACAGACUGGAGGGAGAUGUAUGCCAGGACCCCUGACCGGCCCUCUUAGCUUGCUGGAGGGGCUGGGUGCAGCUCACUGACCUGGCCUUCACCAUCUGCUGCCUGCUUGGCUGUGGAGCCACUGAUGCCCACGUGUAGAGGGCACAGACCUAGACAGAAAUUGCUCAUUGAAAUGAGUAAUGCUAGAAAAAUUCACUUGAACAUGGAGAACG
rnacentral:lncRNA from 10 species